GUUAUCUUGAAAAACAGACUUCGUAUGACAGUCGAGGUCUCUCAAAUUCUUUAAGAUUUGAUUAAAAAUCUGUCUCCUUGAAGACAUCACUUUGGCUGUAACUGAGAAACAACUAUGAUGUCAUAGUUGGGUAGACUGUAUCAGCAAUGGUGCAUUAAUAUUUCUGGUCCCACAUGCUCUUUCUGUUACUCGUCCUUCAAGAGAUAGAGUCAAUUUCCAUUUCCUUCAACUGAGAAGGGCCUUUGUGACUGCCUUGAUGAACAGAAUGAGGUGAAAUUGAGGCUACACAUGAUUUCCAAGGUUAGGUCAUAAAAUAAGACAGCUCCUGCCUGCCUCUGUUCCUCUUGGGACAUUCAUCUUGUAAGAAGUCUAGCUACCCUUAAUUCAGCAUGCUGGAGAGACCCUGUGGAGAGGGCUCACAGGAAUAGAUGUCUCAGGAGCCUCAGCUGUGACAGUUCCCAGGCAAUGCAAGAACCGCCUAAUACAGAUGAUUACAACAUCCUGCCUUCAGAUGCCCUGGCUGUUGCUGAUAGACCAGAGACAAGCCAUCCCUGCUGAGCACUACCCUUAUUCCAACU
rnacentral:lncRNA from 10 species